rnacentral:lncRNA from 10 species
CUCCCCUGUCACACGCCCUGUGAGGGGGACAAGGGAACUUUUCCUGUUUCACUACUAUGCGGCUGGAGCCCAAAAGCACUCAUCCCAGCUCCUGCACCUGUCUGUCUGCAUGUUUCCCCCUCUUGUAAGGGGUUUGAGUACAUGGUGGCCAAGCAAACAGGCCACACCCUUGUUGCAAGUCCCGCGAGAGGUUCAGAGAACUCUCCCGUUUCACUCCUGCCUCAGGCCUCAGCCACCACAGUAAGUGGAACUCUAUACCUCCACCUCGCCUGGCUGGGUGGAGCCUCUAAACUCAGGAUUCUGCCUUGAGCUGUGGCUCUCCCCUCAGGUUGACAGGGUCCAGAGCAAAACCUACGGAAGAAGCUGCAGAGGCCAGGUGGAGGGAAGGAUGCUGAACUGGAGGAGGCCAGGAAAUUAUGAGGUACACCAAUCAAACAUAGUGUGUCCAGAAUUUGUGGGUUCUUGGUCUCACUGACUUCAAGAACGAAGCUGCGGACCCUCACGGUGAUUCUAAGCACAUUAAAAUCUGGAUGACACUUAUCUGAAUCAUUUCGCAACUUGGAGAGAGAUGGAGAAGACACGCAUGGUGUAACUGGGCAUCACCAGAAUGUGCACUGCCAUCUGUGGCUGUCUUCCUGCUGGCAAAUCCUUUUCAUUCCAAGCAAAUAAGAUUCCCUAAAUUAGACAAAAAGGAAGAAACACAACAGAGUCCAUAAUUCUGAGAGGAAGAGAAGAGUGAUCAUCAGCAGCAAAAGGCAAUUGCAGAGAAGCACCACCAAGAGCCAGCUUCAUGCUCAGGAGUGAAUGCUGAGCCGCCUCCUCGUGGUUUCCGGUGCUCCACAUGUUCAGAGAAACUUCUCUGCUCAAAUGUUGCCUUUUCCAAAACCACCCAUGGGCCUGCCCCCUGACAUCCUGUGCCUAUAAAAACCCCAUACUCAGCUGGCAGAGAGAAGAGAAGCAGCUGGACGUUGGUGACUAUGGUUAGACAUUGGAGAGAAGCAGCUUCACUUCAGAGGGACAGCUUGACACGUAACAUCAGAGAAGAAUCUGGCCAGAGAUGGCUGGACUUCAGGAGAAGAUUACCUUCCCUCUCCAUCCCCUUUUCAACUUCCCUUCCUGCUGAGAGCCACUUUCAUCGGCAAUAAAAAUCCCCUACAUUUGUCAUCCUUCAAUUUGUGUGAUGUCAUUUCUCCUGGAUGUGGGACAAGAGCUCGGAUGCUGCUAGUGUGGCUACAAAAGGCUGUCACACUUGCCCUUUGUACUCACUGGCAGAAGGCAGCCAGCUUACGUGAAAAGCCAC